GAUGAACGCUGGCGGCGUGCCUAAUACAUGCAAGUCGAGCGAACGGACGAGAAGCUUGCUUCUCUGAUGUUAGCGGCGGACGGGUGAGUAACACGUGGAUAACCUACCUAUAAGACUGGGAUAACUUCGGGAAACCGGAGCUAAUACCGGAUAAUAUUUUGAACCGCAUGGUUCAAAAGUGAAAGACGGUCUUGCUGUCACUUAUAGAUGGAUCCGCGCUGCAUUAGCUAGUUGGUAAGGUAACGGCUUACCAAGGCAACGAUGCAUAGCCGACCUGAGAGGGGGAUCGGCCCCCCUGGAACUGAGACACGGUCCAGACUCCGACGGGAGGCAGCAGGAGGGAAUCUUCCGCAAUGGGCGAAAGCCUGACGGAGCAACGCCGCGUGAGUGAUGAAGGUCUUCGGAUCGUAAAACUCUGUUAUUAGGGAAGAACAUAUGUGUAAGUAACUGUGCACAUCUUGACGGUACCUAAUCAGAAAGCCACGGCUAACUACGU
rnacentral:rRNA from 1 species